rnacentral:rRNA from 1 species
UGCAGUCGAGCGGAUGACGGGAGCUUGCUCCUUGAUUCAGCGGCGGACGGGUGAGUAAUGCCUAGGAAUCUGCCUGGUAGUGGGGGACAACGUUUCGAAAGGAACGCUAAUACCGCAUACGUCCUACGGGAGAAAGCAGGGGACCUUCGGGCCUUGCGCUAUCAGAUGAGCCUAGGUCGGAUUAGCUAGUUGGUGGGGUAAUGGCUCACCAAGGCGACGAUCCGUAACUGGUCUGAGAGGAUGAUCAGUCACACUGGAACUGAGACACGGUCCAGACUCCUACGGGAGGCAGCAGUGGGGAAUAUUGGACAAUGGGCGAAAGCCUGAUCCAGCCAUGCCGCGUGUGUGAAGAAGGUCUUCGGAUUGUAAAGCACUUUAAGUUGGGAGGAAGGGCAUUAACCUAAUACGUUAGUGUUUUGACGUUACCGACAGAAUAAGCACCGGCUAACUCUGUGCCAGCAGCCGCGGUAAUACAGAGGGUGCAAGCGUUAAUCGGAAUUACUGGGCGUAAAGCGCGCGUAGGUGGUUUGUUAAGUUGGAUGUGAAAGCCCCGGGCUCAACCUGGGAACUGCAUCCAAAACUGGCAAGCUAGAGUACAGUAGAGGGUGGUGGAAUUUCCUGUGUAGCGGUGAAAUGCGUAGAUAUAGGAAGGAACACCAGUGGCGAAGGCGACCACCUGGACUGAUACUGACACUGAGGUGCGAAAGCGUGGGGAGCAAACAGGAUUAGAUACCCUGGUAGUCCACGCCGUAAACGAUGUCAACUAGCCGUUGGAAUCCUUGAGAUUUUAGUGGCGCAGCUAACGCAUUAAGUUGACCGCCUGGGGAGUACGGCCGCAAGGUUAAAACUCAAAUGAAUUGACGGGGGCCCG